GAUUAGAGUUUGAUCAUGGCUCAGGACGAACGCUGGCGGCGUGCCUAACACAUGCAAGUCGAGCGAAGUGAUUUAGAGUGAAAUUUUCGGAUGGAACAAAGAAUCAUCUUAGCGGCGAACGGGUGAGUAACGCGUGAGAAACCUGCCUCUCACAAAGGGAUAGCCUCGGGAAACUGGGAUUAAUACCUUAUGAUACUCUUAGAUCGCAUGAUCUGAAAGUUAAAGUGUAAAGCGGUGAAAGAUGGUCUCGCGUCCUAUUAGCUAGUUGGUGAGGUAACGGCUCACCAAGGCUGCGAUAGGUAGCCGGCCUGAGAGGGUGAACGGCCACACUGGAACUGAGACACGGUCCAGACUCCUACGGGAGGCAGCAGUGGGGAAUAUUGCACAAUGGAGGAAACUCUGAUGCAGCGACGCCGCGUGAAUGAUGAAGGCCUUCGGGUCGUAAAGUUCUGUCCUUGGGGAAGAUAAUGACGGUACCCAAGGAGGAAGCCCCGGCUAACUACGUGCCAGCAGCCGCGGUAAUACGUAGGGGGCGAGCGUUGUCCGGAAUUAUUGGGCGUAAAGGGUUCGCAGGCGGUCUGAUAAGUCAGAUGUGAAAGGCUAUGGCUUAACCAUAGUAAGCAUUUGAAACUGUCAGACUUGAGUUAAGGAGAGGAAAGUGGAAUUCCUAGUGUAGCGGUGAAAUGCGUAGAUAUUAGGAGGAAUACCAGUGGCGAAGGCGACUUUCUGGACUUAAACUGACGCUGAGGAACGAAAGCGUGGGGAGCAAACAGGAUUAGAUACCCUGGUAGUCCACGCCGUAAACGAUGAGUGCUAGGUGUUGGGGGUCAAACCUCGGUGCCGCAGCUAACGCAUUAAGCACUCCGCCUGGGGAGUACGUACGCAAGUAUGAAACUCAAAGGAAUUGACGGGGACCCGCACAAGCGGCGGAACAUGGUGGUUUAAUUCGAAACAACGCGAAGAACCUUACCAGGGCUUGAACAUGCCACUGACCAUCAUAAAGAUAUGAUUUACCUUCAGGUACAGUGGACAACAGGUGGGUGCAUGGUGUCCUCACCUCGGGUCGGGAAUGUUGGGUAAGUCCCGCAAACGAGGGAACCCUGUUUCUAGUUGCAAACAUUAAUUCGGCACUCUAAAAAGAAUGUGCGAGGUCAAUCGCAGGCAGGUGGGCAGUGAUCAAUCUAUUUGCCCAUAUAGUCUGGG
rnacentral:rRNA from 1 species